rnacentral:rRNA from 1 species
GACAGAGGGUGCAAACGUUGCUCGGAAUCACUGGGCGUAAAGGGCGUGUAGGCGGGAAGGAAAGUCGGGCGUGAAAUCCCUGGGCUCAACCCUGGAACUGCACUCGAAACUUCUUUUCUUGAGUGCCGGAGAGGAAAGCGGAAUACCUGGUGUAGAGGUGAAAUUCGUAGAUAUCAGGUGGAACAUCAGUGGCGAAGGCGGCCAUCUGGGACAACACUGACGCUGAGGCACGAAAGCGUGGGGAGCAAACAGG